UUUAUAGCUCAGGGGUUGAAGGCAGGAGAGGGAGCCUAUCUGUAAAUAUCUUUCUCCUUAAAAUGUGGUCUCUCCCGCCUCUCUUCCUUUUGGCUCCUUUCCUUUUUUUUGGCACAGGAAGAUGGCUGAGGUCAGCGAGGCUGGGUUGUUUCCCUGUCCACAGCGCAUUAGGGACCAGAAAAGAAUGUUGGUGUCUCUAAGGUAUUAUUUUCACUUUGGGAGGCCAAAGUAGGAGGAUCAUUUGAGGCUAGGAGUUGGAGACCAGCCUGUGCAACAUAGUGAAACCUCAUCUCAAUGAAAAAGAGACAUUUUGCUGGCAGAGCAACAGCAACUUCUCUCAGCAGCCAGAUGAGAAACAGAGCUUGGAGGCAGAGGCGAGAACAGUGCUGAUGUGGCCGGUGCUGUUCCUUGGAAUUAAAAAAAGGCAGUCCCACUUGGGGCCAUUUUUCUGAAAAGUGAAGGGAAAUGUAAAACAUAAAACGGACCUAAUCUCAAGAAAAGUGGACCCUGCUAUGUGGGGAGAGAUGGUUCUGGGUGAGAUGAUGCCGCAGUUCUCUAUUAAUACUUAGGUCAUUGACACUCACCUUUUCAUGUCGCAAGCCUGGCCUUGGUCUCUGGUCAUGGACAUGCCACACUCGUGGGUCGUGAGGGUUGGCCCUCUGCCUUAUCUUCCCCAAAGACAGACUCACUGGCUCCUGAGCCCCAGGGAUCUCCAAAAAGGGGCCUUUGUUGUGGGGACAGCCCCAUCAUCCCAGCUGGUGGCUACCUUCCAGCAGGUGUUAUGUGGCUAUGUCCCAGUUCCCAAGUUGCUGACCUUGUGUGAUCUCUUCCCCACCCCUGCUGUGAUGCUGGAAUGACAACAGUUCCUCAAAUCUGCAGAGCACUUUCAACUUCCAAAGGUCUUUGGCGAACACUGCCACUAAUGUAAUCCCUGACUUCCCAUUAAGUUUGUGUUUAAGGAAUUGUUAUAACUUUUAAAGAAAAUUAUAAAAUCAAAACAGCACACAUAAAUGGUUUUUAAAGAAGCAGAAAAUAUUACAGAAAGGCCAACAAUGAAAACUUCCAUUUCUCAUGUCAUCGCCAACCACCCCAUGUUCUCCUUCCUAGAGGAAACCACUCUUAAUGGUUUCUUUCUUUUAAUUUAGUUUUUAUUUUAUUUUAUUUUACCAUGCCUUACAAGGCUUGUUAUUAAAACAGCAGUAUCAGGUUUCUUAUCGGGAUGAUGAAAUGAUCUAAAACUAGACUAUGGUGAUGGUUGCACAGCUCUGUGAAUAUACUAAAACCCACUGAGUUGUACCCUUUAGAUGGGUGAACUUUACAGUAUGUAAAUUAUAUCUUAAUACAGAGCUGGACAUUUUUCAGCAAUGUGAAACAUGUGAUGUGAUUUCAGUCCUAUUAGGCAAAUAAAGCAAUUUGCGAGGGCUUUGAGAAGACACAUAAUCCCUAAAUGGAUAGACAUGUGGCGUUAAUUAUUGAUCACAAUAGUUACUAACCAUAUAGUCACUGCUCUUAGAAUAACACAGAUUACUGUCUGGUCUACAAAGUCACAUAUGCAGAAAAAUUCUUGUUUCUUUAGAUAUUGUCUGUGUUGACAUACACUCAAAAAUGUUGAUGUUCUUUCUUCUACUUUGCUGACAUCAUAUUUUCAUUAAAUACAUGCUGCAGUAUACUAAAAAAAAUUAUAUCUCAAGCUGUUAGAAAAGGAGGCGGAGGCUGGGCACGGUGGCUCAUGCCUGUAAUCCCAGGACUUUGGGGAGGCCAAGGCGGGCGGAUCACCUGAGGUCAGGGGUUUGAGACCAGCCUGGCCAACAUGGUGAAAUCCUGUCUCUACUAAAGAUACAAAAAUGAGCCAGGUGUGGUGGCGCGUGCCUGUAGUCCCAGCUACUUGGGAGGCUGAGGCAGGAGAAUAGCUUGAACCUGGGAGACGGAGGUUAUAGUGAGCCGAGAUCGCACCACUGCACUCCAGCCUGGGAGAAAGCAAGACUCUGUCUUUUAAAAAAAAAAAAAAAAAAAAGACAGUCUCCUGACUCCCCCCUUCCAACUGCCACCACUGUCUCACUUCCUGAAGGCCAUUACUUUCAAACAGCGUGAUAUUUUCUUCCAUAUUGCUAAAUUAUUUGUUUGCAAUGUUAUUUCUUCAUUACUUAGUUUUAGGCAUUUACUAUUGACUUCCCAUUAAAAAAAGAUGAGGCUUUAACUUUCUUCCCUCUAACUGCCUUGGCCCCCACCAUACCAAAUAUGCACUUCCCACCCCUCAUCCUUCUCACAGAGAGUUACAGAUAUCCUGGUUAACACAGUGUUUCUGUUUAUAUUAACAUGACGACAAAAGCACCACUGGCAGCUGUCCAGUUGUGUGGCGUGGAGGAGGGCAUUCGAGGGUUUCACUGAUUCUUAAUUUGUCAACCUCCUAUCUUCCCCUCUCUCUCACUUCUAUUUCCCAAGGUC
rnacentral:lncRNA from 1 species